UCAUCCUUUGGCUACGUCUUCCUCUUUGCUUUGGACUUGUGUGAGCGCCGCCGCCAGCCAUGGCUUCCCUGCUCUUCAAGGACAAGAAAGGCGGCGGCGGAGGUGUCAACUUCUCCUGCGUUUCCCCUGCCUCCGCCGCCAUCUGCACCAGCAUCGACCUUCGGUCCACGGUUCAGCCUGCCGGCGGCGGCAGCCGAGCCCUCGACCGGCACACGCUCCACCUCCGCGACCCACGCCGGCGGCCCAAGUCCACCGCGGUUGCGUCUGUGUCCCAGGUGCCGUUGAGGUCCAAGACAGUCCGGCUCAAGAGCUCGGAGAGACCGCGCGGCGGUACGGUCAGCGUCCCGGGGUCAGCGCGGUACCUGCUCGGCGGCGACGAGGAGGAGGAGGACGGCGUCACCAUCGACGGCGACGCCUACUUGGAGGAAACAGAGAAGGAUUUGGCUCCCUUGGUGUCGCUAGACCCGCCGACGCUGAGAGCGCUGAUGAGCGAACCGGUUGGAUUUAACGCCUGCUCUGUUUCCGCCGCCGCCGCCGCCACUAAAAGGCAAAACCAGGUUGUGGCGCUGAGAGUGUCAUUGCACUGCAAGGGGUGUGAAGGGAAGGUGAGGAAGCACAUUUCCAAGAUGGAAGGAGUGACAUCAUUCGAGAUCGACUUCGCGUCCAAGAAGGUGACGGUCGUGGGCGACGUGACGCCACUGGGAGUCCUCAGCAGCAUCUCCAAGGUGAAGCACGCCCAGUUCUGGCCAUCUCCUGCUCCACCAUCGGAUUCCCUGUUACCACAGUAAUUUCAGAGCUCGAUUUCUGUUUUUUUUUUUUUAAAAAAAAAAAAAAGCAAAAUAUUGCUGAUGAUCGUCCAAAAGAAGGAAGAAGAUGAAUUGAUGGAGUAGAACAGGGCUGGACCAAAGGUGAAGGAAGCAGGACGCUGGAUUGUAGGUUAAAAGAAACAAGAGAAAAACAGAGGCAGAGUCGGUUUGUUCAGGUUUCAGUCGUUUGUCUAAUCUUGUUGCUUUGGGAGACGAGAUCAGUGUGACGGGUUGAGUUGGCCUGGAGAGGAUCGCAUCGAAACAGGCAAAUAGUAAGGUUGAACGGGUGUCAUGGUUCGUACACUGUGCUAAAUCGAGGACCAUGAGGGCAAGAAAACAGAGCAGACGUUUUGGAUCGUAGCUCAUGCAUUGAAGGAAGCAUUCAUGUUUGUUUGGUGGUACAAUCGCAUAUAAUUCCCUCAUCAGCCUUCAAUUAUUAAUUUUCUGACUGUUAGCUGGUGAAUUCUGCAGGAAUGUUAAUGACUGUUUACUCGGCAAUUUUAUUUUAUUUACUUGUGCACAGUUCAAGUACAAAUGUAAUUAAAAAAUUAAUUAUGUGAAGGUCGAUUAUUCCGUAAUUUAUUUCUUUCGUAUAA